rnacentral:rRNA from 1 species
GAUGAACGCUGGCGGCGUGCUUAACACAUGCAAGUCGAACGGAAAGGCUCCUGCUUGCAGGGGUACUCGAGUGGCGAACGGGUGAGUAACACGUGGGUGAUCUGCCCUGCACUUCGGGAUAAGCCUGGGAAACUGGGUCUAAUACCGGAUAGGACCACAUUUUGGAUGGUGUGGUGGAAAGUUUUUCGGUGUGGGAUGAGCUCGCGGCCUAUCAGCUUGUUGGUGGGGUAAUGGCCCACCAAGGCGUCGACGGGUAGCCGGCCUGAGAGGGUGUACGGCCACAUUGGGACUGAGAUACGGCCCAGACUCCUACGGGGGGCAGCAGUGGGGAAUAUUGCACAAUGGGCGCGAGCCUGAUGCAGCGACGCCGCGUGGGGGAUGACGGCCUUCGGGUUGUAAACUCCUUUCGCUAGGGACGAAGCGUUUUUGUGACGGUACCUGGAGAAGAAGCACCGGCUAACUACGUG